UAAGGAAUAUUGGACAAUGGGGGCAACCCUGAUCCAGCCAUGCCGCGUGAAGGAUUAAGGCCCUAUGGGUCGUAAACUUCUUUUAUAAGGGAAAAAACCCCUCUAUGCGUAGGGGGUUGAUGGUACUUUAUGAAUAAGGGUCGGCUAACUUCGUGCCAGCAGCCGCGGUAAUACGAAGGACCCGAGCGUUAUCCGGAUUUACUGGGUUUAAAGGGUGCGUAGGUGGACCUGUAAGUCAGUGGUGAAAGCCCGAAGCUCAACUUCGGAACUGCCAUUGAUACUGCUUGUCUUGAGUAUAGUUGAGGUAGGCGGAAUAUGUCAUGUAGUGGUGAAAUACUUAGAUAUGACAUAGAACACCGAUUGCGAAGGCAGCUUGCUAAGCUAUAACUGACACUGAUGCACGAAAGCGUGGGGAGCAAACAGGAUUAGAUACCCCGGUAGUCC
rnacentral:rRNA from 1 species